rnacentral:rRNA from 1 species
GAUGAACGCUGGCGGCGUGCCUAAUACAUGCAAGUCGAGCGAACAGACGAGGAGCUUGCUCCUUUGACGUUAGCGGCGGACGGGUGAGUAACACGUGGGUAACCUACCUAUAAGACUGGGAUAACUUCGGGAAACCGGAGCUAAUACCGGAUAAUAUUUCGAACCGCAUGGUUCGAUAGUGAAAGAUGGCUUUGCUAUCACUUAUAGAUGGACCUGCGCCGUAUUAGCUAGUUGGUAAGGUAACGGCUUACCAAGGCAACGAUACGUAGCCGACCUGAGAGGGUGAUCGGCCACACUGGAACUGAGACACGGUCCAGACUCCUACGGGAGGCAGCAGUAGGGAAUCUUCCGCAAUGGGCGAAAGCCUGACGGAGCAACGCCGCGUGAGUGAUGAAGGUCUUCGGAUCGUAAAACUCUGUUAUUAGGGAAGAACAAACGUGUAAGUAACUGUGCACGUCUUGACGGUACCUAAUCAGAAAGCCACGGCUAACUAUGUG